AUUGAACGCUGGCGGCGUGCCUAACACAUGCAAGUCGAGCGGUAACAGGUGUAGCAAUACAUGCUGACGAGCGGCGAACGGGUGAGUAAUGCUUCGGAAUCUGCCCAUGUAGUGGGGAAUAACCAGCCGAAAGGUUGGCUAAUACCGCAUACGACCCUUGCCCAAAAGGCAAAGGUGAAAGCAGGGGAUCGCAAGACCUUGCGCUAUUGGAUGAGCCGAAGUCGGAUUAGCUAGUUGGUAGGGUAACGGCCUACCAAGGCGACGAUCCGUAGCUGGUCUGAGAGGACGACCAGCCACACUGGGACUGAGACACGGCCCAGACUCCUACGGGAGGCAGCAGUGGGGAAUUUUGGACAAUGGGGCAACCCUGAUCCAGCCAUUCCGCGUGAGUGAAGAAGGCCUCGGUUGUAAGUA
rnacentral:rRNA from 1 species